GAUUCCCAGCCAUGGCUGGUAAUGACACCAAUCUGCAGCACCAAAAAAAGUUAGAAAAUAUAUUAUAGUAAAUAUUGCAUAUUAUAUCUAUACAUACCCCAUCAAACGCCCAAGCGUUAUGAAUUACGAUGCAGUUAAAGAUGUACUCCCUUAAUAGGCUCUUUUUGUAGGCGGCACGAAAGAUCUGUGUAAAACUUCGCUUCGCGAUGAUCACGUCAACCUCGGGAGUAAAUAACUCUCAAACCCGGCUGGUCUGAAUCUUCAGACACAUCUCGUGGUUCAAACUCCCAACCCGAAGCUGAUAGUCAAACCUUCCCUUUUUUAAAAGGUUUUUGUUUAUUAUGACAUCGGAACUCUGACUAUAUGCUUUACGUAGACUUUGAAGAUGUCUGUUAAUCCUUUAUAUGUAACGUAAAAACUUACCGUGUAAGAUCUAAAGUUGGCCUAUCCUUUGCCUGUCUGAUAUACACGCAAAUGAUUCAUAGCUAGCCCAGAGGUGUUCAGAAUUAGGAAUACAUUGCUAUUAUCU